UACGAAGGGGGCUAGCGUUGCUCGGAAUCACUGGGCGUAAAGAGCUCGUAGGCGGUCUGUCGCGUCGGUCGUGAAAACUUGGGGCUUAACCCUGAGCUUGCGGUCGAUACGGGCAUGACUGGAGUUCGGUAGGGGAGACUGGAAUUCCUGGUGUAGCGGUGAAAUGCGCAGAUAUCAGGAGGAACACCGGUGGCGAAGGCGGGUCUCUGGGCCGAUAAUGACGCUGAGGAGCGAAAGCGUGGGGAGCGAACAGG
rnacentral:rRNA from 1 species